rnacentral:rRNA from 1 species
AACGAACGCUGGCGGCAUGCCUAACACAUGCAAGUCGAACGAAGUCUUCGGACUUAGUGGCGCACGGGUGCGUAACGCGUGGGAAUCUGCCCUUGGGUGCGGAAUAACUUCUCGAAAGGGAUGCUAAUACCGCAUAAUGUCGUAAGACCAAAGAUUUAUCGCCCAAGGAUGAGCCCGCGUAAGAUUAGCUAGUUGGUGGGGUAAAAGCCUACCAAGGCGACGAUCUUUAGCUGGUCUGAGAGGAUGAUCAGCCACACUGGGACUGAGACACGGCCCAGACUCCUACGGGAGGCAGCAGUGGGGAAUAUUGGACAAUGGGCGAAAGCCUGAUCCAGCAAUGCCGCGUGAGUGAUGAAGGCCCUAGGUGUAAAGCUCUUUACCCGGGAUGAUAAUGACAGUACCGGGAGAAUAAGCUCCGGCUAACUCCGUGCCAGCAGCCGCGGU